rnacentral:rRNA from 1 species
AGUGAACGCUGGCGGUAGGCCUAACACAUGCAAGUCGAACGGCAGCACAGUAAGAGCUUGCUCUUACGGGUGGCGAGUGGCGGACGGGUGAGGAAUACAUCGGAAUCUACUUUUUCGUGGGGGAUAACGUAGGGAAACUUACGCUAAUACCGCAUACGACCUACGGGUGAAAGCAGGGGAUCUUCGGACCUUGCGCGAUUGAAUGAGCCGAUGUCGGAUUAGCUAGUUGGCGGGGUAAAGGCCCACCAAGGCGACGAUCCGUAGCUGGUCUGAGAGGAUGAUCAGCCAAACUGGAAGUGAGACACGGUCCAGAAUCCUACGGGAGGCAGCAGUGGGGAAUAUUGGAAAAGGGGCGAAAGCCUGAUCCAGCCAGACCGCGUGGGUGAAGAAGGCCUUCGGGUUGUAAAGCCCUUUUGUUGGGAAAGAAAAGAAGCAGGUUAAUACCCCGCUGUUCUGACGGUACCCAAAGAAUAAGCACCGGCUAACUUCGU